CCAAGUGGAUCCAAUGUCAUCACAAGGGUCAUUGAAUAUGGACAAAGGAGGCAGAGGAGUCAGUGUCACAGUGAUGUGACAUGAGAGUUGACCAGCCCUUGCUUGCUUUGAAGGUGGAAAGGGACCACAGCCAAGGAAUGCAAGCAACCUCUAGAAGCUGGAAAAGGAGCAUUAAUACAUGUGAGAGAGUGCAUCAUCCUGGUCAGACAACUGUUCAUCUCUUUUGCACUGAAAUGGUAGGCUUUAACACACGAAGGAAAGUUCAACAUGUCAAGUCAAGAAAUUUGAAAUGAAUUCAGUAGCCACUCAGUAGUCACUGAGUAUUUUUGAGCAGAAAAGAGAUCUCCUAAGAAUGAAAUUAUGAAAAAUUACUCCAGGAGUAGUGUAUAGAAUGGAUGGGAGAAGGAGGAUAAACAAUAGAGAAACACUUAGAGAUUUAUUGCUAUAGUAUAGGCAGACGAUUAUAAGUAUCUGAAACUAGGGCAUGGUGAUGACAACAAAAAGGGAG
rnacentral:lncRNA from 1 species